rnacentral:rRNA from 1 species
CUGCCUAAUACAUGCAAGUAGAACGCUGAAGGAGGAGCUUGCUCUUCUGGAUGAGUUGCGAACGGGUGAGUAACGCGUAGGUAACCUGCCUGGUAGCGGGGGAUAACUAUUGGAAACGAUAGCUAAUACCGCAUAAGAGUAGAUGUUGCAUGACAUUUACUUAAAAGGUGCAAAUGCAUCACUACCAGAUGGACCUGCGUUGUAUUAGCUAGUUGGUGGGGUAACGGCUCACCAAGGCGACGAUACAUAGCCGACCUGAGAGGGUGAUCGGCCACACUGGGACUGAGACACGGCCCAGACUCCUACGGGAGGCAGCAGUAGGGAAUCUUCGGCAAUGGACGGAAGUCUGACCGAGCAACGCCGCGUGAGUGAAGAAGGUUUUCGGAUCGUAAAGCUCUGUUGUAAGAGAAGAACGAGUGUGAGAGUGGAAAGUUCACACUGUGACGGUAUCUUACCAGAAAGGGACGGCUAACUACGUGCCAGCAGCCGCGGUAAUACGUAGGUCCCGAGCGUUGUCCGGAUUUAUUGGGCGUAAAGCGAGCGCAGGCGGUUAGAUAAGUCUGAAGUUAAAGGCUGUGGCUUAACCAUAGUACGCUUUGGNAACUGUUUAACUUGAGUGCAAGAGGGGAGAGUGGGAAUUCCAUGUGUAGCGGNUGAAAUGCGAAGAUAUAUGGAGGAACACCGGUGGCGAAAGCGGCUCUCUGGCUUGUAACUGACGCUGAGGCUCGAAAGCGUGGGGAGCAAACAGGAUUAGAU